rnacentral:rRNA from 1 species
CUACGUGCCAGCAGCCGCGGUAAUACGUAGGUCCCGAGCGUUGUCCGGAUUUAUUGGGCGUAAAGCGAGCGCAGGCGGUUAGAUAAGUCUGAAGUUAAAGGCUGUGGCUUAACCAUAGUACGCUUUGGAAACUGUUUAACUUGAGUGCAAGAGGGGAGAGUGGAAUUCCAUGUGUAGCGGUGAAAUGCGUAGAUAUAUGGAGGAACACCGGUGGCGAAAGCGGCUCUCUGGCUUGUAACUGACGCUGAGGCUCGAAAGCGUGGGGAGCAAACAGGAUUAGAUACCCUGGUAGUCCACGCCGUAAACGAUGAGUGCUAGGUGUUAGACCCUUUCCGGGGUUUAGUGCCGCAGCUAACGCAUUAAGCACUCCGCCUGGAGAGUACGACCGCAAGGUUAAAACUCAAAUGAAUUGACGGGGGCCCGCACAAGCGGUGGAGCAUGUGGUUUAAUUCGAUGCAACGCGAAGAACCUUACCUACUCUUGACAUCCAUGGAAUUUUGUAGAGAUAUGAGAG